UACAGGUGUAUAAUUUACCCUGUUACAUUUACAUGUCCUGUUUCAACUCAUACAAAACUGUUGAUUUGUCAUGUUUAUACUCAUAUCUGUGUUUAAAAAUGUAGUUACCUGAUCAAAAUGGGUGCUUCUCUUAAAUGCCUUGAUAAUAGAAGCUGAUGUCACUUCCUGUCCUGAUUCCUCCUCUUCCCUUUCUUUAUUGUAAUCUCAUUAAAGUGAGAACAAUAAGUGAAAUAUCACCACAGAGGCUGCUGAUUUGUUCUGUGUUCAUCAGAAAAAACAUUAAAUACUUCCAGUGAACUGCAGUCUGCUGUCCCGUGUACCGGUGGACAGCGAGAGGUCCAACCUGGAGGACAGAGUGAUGGAGUUGGAGGAACGGCUCAGUGAGACACACAGAGAGUGUGUGAUCAACACCAAGCAGUGUUUUAGGAGUGUGAGCAGGAGUGAGAGACUCACAGUGUCCUGAAGUACCAGUACAAUCAUCUGAGGGAAACUGUAACCUACAGCAAGGAGUCACUACAGGUCUUCUGGAUGAAGCUGAGAAGAAACACGAGCAGGUGCUGGAGUCCAGUGUUCAGCUACAGAAAGAGAUCUACAAACUGGUAUCAGACAUGGACUUACUGUAGCCUCAGCUGAGCUGAAAGAGGAAGAGCUUCUUCAGACUAACAGGAAGUGCAGCAGGUUAAUGGCAGAGUGGGAACAGUACCAGGAUGUUUACUGUACCAUGAAGGUGAAGUACGACGGAAUGAAAGAAUCCGUGAAACAUUUGUAGAUUUUCAUCACAGACUUGUACAGAGCAUGUAGCGCCAUCACUUGGCCUGAAAAGCAGCCUAGUGGUCACGUGGUCGGUUAUGGCGCUCAAUAAGUUCCUGAUGUGGUUUCUGUUUGUAUUUUUUUCCUCCGCAGCGAAUUAAUGAAUUUAUUUGUGAAUUUGUUUGCAUUAUUUCAGUGUAAACA